AGUCAAAAACCUGGCGGACCAGUGAAAAAUCAAGCCAACUGGUCCUGCUGGCCAGUUGAAAAAAAAGUUGAGGGCAACCCCUGUUUGCUCUGCAAAGCAGUUAACACGGACAGUUUGGUGAAAAGUUUUGUGACUGUUAUGAAUCUCCCUGUCAAAAUUCUUUUGUUUUAGGUGUUGUGAUCUUGCUCAUAAGUAUUGAUAUAUCGAUUACUGUUACAGGGCCUUAGCUCAAUUGCUAUGCGCCAAGCAGAGCAAUCACUCAGCGGAGAGCAUUGGGGUGUAUCUACGUAAAUUGAAGCAAGCUAUCUCCACAACGGCAGCUCGAUUCUCUGGAUUUAUGCAACACGAUGCGCAAGAGUUUCUCUGUCAGUGCCUGGAUCAACUCAAAGACGACACCGAAAGGGCCAACAAGAGGGCGCUAAACUCCCCCUUCGACGAGACCCCAGGGACGGAUGAUGAUAAAAUUAAACUGAGGUUUCGCUAUCCGCACGACUGCCCGAUUGUCAAGAACUUUGAAUUUGAAGUCAUGCACUCUACGAUCUCUCGCUGGACAUGCCCAGAAGGAGUCAUUCUAACCCGAUCGGGUCGAUCCAGACGGCGCUGGAGCAGUUCUUCAGAGAGGAGGGUAUAGAGUAUGCCUGCUGAGAAUGUGACUGCAAGCAGGCUAUAGUCACGCAUAAGUUCACUAAGCUACCAAGGGUAAUUAUCAUUCAUCUUAAGCGCUACAAAUUUGAUUUCUGACGCCUUCCAGUACUCCAAGCUCCGUCGCUAUAUCCUCAUACCCAGGUACUUGUCCGUCCACUACCACUGCACCAAGGAAACCCAGAGUCCAACCUCUCUCCCAAAGUCAUUAGUCAACGGGACGUCAUCUCCAAGGCCACAACAACUCAAUGCCGAGAGAA